rnacentral:rRNA from 1 species
CCCUUAGAUGUCCUGGGCCGCACGCGCGUUACACUGAUGCAUUCAACGAGCAUAUAACCUUGGCCGAGAGGCCUGGGUAAUCUUGUUAACAUGCAUCGUGAUAGGGAUAGAUUAUUGCAAUUAUUAAUCUUGAACGAGGAAUUCCUAGUAAUCGCAGUUCAUCAAACUGCAAUGAUUACGUCCCUGCCCUUUGUACACACCGCCCGUCGCACCUACCGAUUGAAUGGUCCGGUGAGGACUCGGGAUUGUGGUUUAGCUCCUUCAUUGGGGCCUGACUGCGAGAACUUGUCCGAACCUUAUCAUUUAGAGGAAGGUGAAGUCGUANCA